UAUAAUGGGUCAGCGACUUAUAUUCUGUAGCAAGGUUAACCGAAUAGGGGAGCCGAAGGGAAACCGAGUCUUAACUGGGCGUUAAGUUGCAGGGUAUAGACCCGAAACCCGGUGAUCUAGCCAUGGGCAGGUUGAAGGUUGGGUAACACUAACUGGAGGACCGAACCGACUAAUGUUGAAAAAUUAGCGGAUGACUUGUGGCUGGGGGUGAAAGGCCAAUCAAACCGGGAGAUAGCUGGUUCUCCCCGAAAGCUAUUUAGGUAGCGCCUCGUGAAUUCAUCUCCGGGGGUAGAGCACUGUUUCGGCAAGGGGGUCAUCCCGACUUACCAACCCGAUGCAAACUGCGAAUACCGGAGAAUGUUAUCACGGGAGACACACGGCGGGUGCUAACGUCCGUCGUGAAGAGGGAAACAACCCAGACCGCCAGCUAAGGUCCCAAAGUCAUGGUUAAGUGGGAAACGAUGUGGGAAGGCCCAGACAGCCAGGAUGUUGGCUUAGAAGCAGCCAUCAUUUAAAGAAAGCGUAAUAGCUCACUGGUCGAGUCGGCCUGCGCGGAAGAUGUAACGGGGCUAAACCAUGCACCGAAGCUGCGGCAGCGACGCUGAUGCGUUGUUGGG
rnacentral:rRNA from 1 species